rnacentral:rRNA from 1 species
UACGUAGGGGCUAGCGUUAUCCGGAAUUACUGGGCGUAAAGGGUGCGUAGGUGGUUUCUUAAGUCAGAGGUGAAAGGCUACGGCUCAACCGUAGUAAGCCUUUGAAACUGGGAAACUUGAGUGCAGGAGAGGAGAGUGGAAUUCCCGGUGUAGAGGUGAAAUUCGUAGAUAUCGGGAGGAACACCAGUGGCGAAGGCGGUUUCCUGGCCUGAUACUGACACUGAGGCGCGAAAGCGUGGGGAGCAAACAGGAUUAGAUACCCUGGUAGUCCCUGAGCGGGCUGG